rnacentral:tRNA from 1 species
CAAAAUAGAUUUCAUAGUUGGAAUUUUCAUUUACAUUGAAUUAUUAUUUGUGCAAUUCAAAAUAUUUUGA